UGGCGAGGGGUCCUUCACCAUGUCUGUGGCGCGCAUGAAUGGGCCCUUGGUAAAUGUCAACAUCAGCCACUGGAUGCGGUGAGCAGUGCCAAAGACUGCAUGCUGUCUCGUUCUGCAGCAUAUGAGGCACUCUCUCAAAUCGUGCUCAACAGACGAUGGCUGAAGGAUGUGGAGAAGUUUCAUUUUGACAAAAAGUGUAAACAUUAUCGUGUCCACGCGGUGAAGGUUGCCAAAGACUACAGCAACAUCCCUCAGCUGCAGCAGGCUAGACAACCCACAGACUCUUGGUCUUCUUACUGGAGUUAAGCCUCCCCCAACAGCUGAACUGGCCCAGGCACAGAUCUGCAGAGGACAGACACCUUGCAUCUGCACACAACAUCCAGGAAUACCAUUCAGGCGAUGACAUCGAGGGUCACUGAAAAUCCAGGAGAAACAUGGAUUGGAGGCUCUAAUACAGAACAGGACCAAUAUUGGAUCUGGAGUGAGGGCACACCUUUCUUCUUUACUUGGUGUCGUGGAGAGCCUAUUAACCAUGGAGGUCGUCAGAAAUGUCUGCAAAUGAAUUAUUCAGGGUGGCUGUCACGUGCAGAUACAGAAGUGACCUCACGGUGGCGCUGCUGUCCUGCCAGCCUCUCUCACUCUGUGGUUCUGAGACAGAAACUCAGCCUCAGAUUCAGUCAUGAGCGUCUGUUUCUGUUUGUAAUCUGCACACACACACAUCCAAUGGACUGUGUGUGGACUUGUCAGGAAUCAUGUCAGUGUAACGAAUGAAAUGGUCUGCAGUCUCGAUACUUGACUCGAUGUGAGUGUGUGUUGUAUUAGUUUCACUUCCUCUCAGGUUCAGAGAUUGUUUUAUUGGUUUCUCUUUCUGUCCAGAUGUCUGUAGGGUUGUACUGUUAUAUUUCUUUUCUCUUGAUUAUUCAUCUGUCUUUUCUUUUGAAAACAUUUGUUUUCAGUAACAUGUAACUCAGCUUUAACAUCUGCAAGCUCAACAUUCAUGCCAAUUAAGCUUAUACAUAUUCACUACAUGUUAUAUUAAACUUACAACUUAUUAUAUAUUAUUCUGUAAUCCUACUACAUUUUAUAUGCAAUAUUGUUGUACUAUACUGCAUAUUUUCCAAUAGCUACAUUGGUGUUGAUUAUUGUGUGUGAUUAUUAUUAUAGUGUUUAUAUCUAUCUAUCUAUUUAUAUCUUAAGCAAAUGUGGGGGGGUUAUGUUAUCGGUCAUCGAUGAUUGCAGCUCUGAUUGUAUCGGCACAGUUAAAACACACAAACACGCAGGUGUCGUUUCGUGAGUGUUAAAGCUCACUGACUUAAAGGUCGGGAGCUUGUCAUGAAGAUAGAAGAUUAUGUAAAGAUUGUGUGUGUGUGUGUGUGUAGGAAAACUCCUCCAAAAGCUAUCAGCAGAUCAGAUUUAUCCAACAGCAGUGGUGGAAAAAUACUUUUACUCAAGUAAGUCCACUUUUGAGGGACUAGUACUUUACUUGUGUAUUUCCAUUUUGUGCUAAUAUAUUUCAAAGGGGUUUACUUUUGGCCCCAUCGUCAGGUCUGAGUUUUUCUCUUUCUAAUAUUUAUUGCUGCUCUUACUAGUAUCUGUUGUUACUCAUUGAUCUCUGACUUUACUGAUGCUUGUAUGUUGUUCCUCAAAUGUAAGUUGCUACGGACAGAAGUGUCUGACCAACUGAGUAAAUGUAAGUUUGCUUUAUUUUUGGCAUAGCAUCACCCAGAGAGGGAAAAUGCACCAGCUGCCAUUGAUUUAAAGUAGCUCCUCUAACUGGUACCUGCAUGUUGAUUUAUCAGUAUUAAUAAUGCAAUAAUCUAAAAUAUAAUAAUGAAGCCAAUUAUCCGUAGAAGAAGUACUUUUACUGUUGAUACUUCUGGUACAUUUUGAUUAUAAUACUUCUGUGCUUUUAAUUAAAGUAAGAUAUUAAAU